ensembl:snRNA U6 U6 spliceosomal RNA
GUGCUUGCUUCAACAGUACAUAUGCUAAAAUUGGAACAAUACAGAGAAGACUAGCAUGGCCCCUGUGCAAAGAUGACAUGCAAAUUCAUGAAGCAUUUCAUAUUUUA